rnacentral:lncRNA from 1 species
GAAACAGAAUAGAAAGAACAAAGAAACAGAAUAGAAGAGACGAAACAGGGGAGAAGCAGGGGAGAAAGAAGAAAAAGAAGAAAAAAGGGGAAAUAGGGUUUUUGAAGCUUGAAAUUUAAAUUGGUAAGUCAAAUUAGCCAUUUUCUCUUAAUUCUAAUGUUUUAAAAGCUUUAAAACAAAGUUUUGAUGGAAUUAAGUUGAUAUUUUGUAAGUUCAUAGGUUUUCAAGUAUAGUUUAUGUUGAACAAAAGAGAUGAAUUAGGGAUUAACUUGAAGGAAUUUUAAGUUAGAAUUGAAAAAGGGAUUAAAUUGUAAAAGAAACUAUAAGUUUUUUUUGUUUUAGGGACUAGAUUGAGGAAAAUUCGGAAUUAAGAAAAUAUGUUAAAAAUUUAAUAGUUAAAUUUGAGUUUAAAUGAAAUUUGAAUAGGAAUAAGGUGUGAAUUGGUGUUAUAAAUUUGGUUAUUAACAUUUUUAAUCAAAACAGUUUUGGGAAGUAGCAAUGGUCUGACUUUGAAAAUUCACUAAAAAUUUUAUAAAUUGAACUAGAGGAUGAACAAAAUAUGGAAUUAAAGCUUAUUGAGUCUAGUUUCUUAUAGUAGAAACAAUGUAAGCAAUUAAUUGAUGAAUCAAGAGAUAUUUGAAAUUUUGUAAUACUGGUUCGGGGUGAUUUCGAGAUGCCCUGUUUUAACUUUGGAAAAUCAUUAAAAAUUGUACAAAAAUUAUUAUGGAGUGUAAUUUAUAUAUGUGAACUCCUUAAUGAAUCUAGUUUCAAAAUAAAUAAACAAGAACCUUAUUCGAGUUCUGUACAAUGAGAUAAUUUAGUUUUAGUGGAGAGAGGUCAGAACUGUCAAAUGAAAUAACAGGGGAGUAUUUAACGAAUAAACUGUAUUAAAUGGCUAGACCAAAAAUUCUGGAAAUUUUAUGAUUAGAAGAUAUAUGAGUCUAGUUUUAAGGAAAAUUUACGGAUAUUAAUUUGGAGUUUCGUAGCUCAAGAUAUAAAUAAUUUAGUAACAAUGACCCAAGUAGACAGCUUAAUGGUGAAAUUAUAUAAAUACAUUAAAAAUGGUUAAAUUUGCAUGUUUAGGCUCAUGAAUUAAAUUGAAUCAUGUUGUAUUGAUUAUUAUAAAUUAUUAUUUUCGUAGCCAACAAAGAACCUAAAGCAUCAGCAUCGAAAGGAAAGGAGAAAGUCAUCGAGGAGUAAACUCGAGAAAAUUACGGUUUGUAUUACUAUAAUUCAAGUUAUUUAUUAUUAAAUGUUAAAUUUUAAUUUAUGUGUCUAGUAAAUGAAAUGUGAGGUAAGUAUUAUUAUUAUUAUUAUUAUUAUUAUUAUUAUUAUUAUUAUUAUUAUGAGUGGGAAUUAAAUUGAAUAGUUGAUAUGAAAUAAUAUUUGAAUUGUUUGUUGAUUGAAAGCGGGAAAUGAAUUUAAAUCGAAUAGUGACCGAUAUUAAAUUGAAUGGAAAUGUAUUGAGUUGUGAAAAUAUGUUAAUUGCGGAUUAAUUAUUGAUUGAAAGGUGGAAAAAUGAUUGAAUUGAAAGUGUGAGAAAGUGUGAUUGAAUUGGGAUUAUAUGUGAUUUAAAUACCCUAUUAACUAGUCGGGCUGAGUCGGAUAUAGUUGGCAUGCCAUAGGAUUGGAAGAGUUCAGGGAUACUUCGACCUCGAGUCGAUGAGACACUGGGUGAUUUCUUCGGAUAGAUUGGAUGAGGUACUGGGUACCAACUUUCUUCGGCUUUGCCGAUGAGACACUGGGUGUCAACUAUUGCUUCGAACUAUCCGAUGAGGCACUGGGUGCCAUUCUGGUGUGUUUGGUUGGAUCCGUGUAUCCGCCAAAGUCCGAGUUUUGUUAAUAGGGUAAAUGAUGAAAUGAUAAACCGAACGAGUUGGUCAAACGAGCUAUUGAAAUGAUAUGAAAAAGUUGAAUUGUGAAUUGAAAUGUGAAAUGAGAUUGAGAAAUGAACCUAAGGUUCGUGAAUUAUUCAAACUCAAAUUGUGGAUAUACGAUAUUGGUUGAUGAAUUGCUAUUGUUGAAAUAUUUAAUUUAAAUUGUAUAUACGAUUUAUGCUUUACAUGUACAUUAUUGUUAUAAUUUGAAUUAUGGUAAUACCACUGAGUAUGAAUUACUCAGCGUACGGUUGUUUCCGUGCGCAGGUCAAUAGAAGUCAAAGGUCUCGGUUCAGCAUCCAGAUUAAUCCCGGCUUCGGCAAAACUUGGUGAUGUAUUUUUCCUUUGGUAAAGGUGGCAUGUACAUAGAUUGUGUAUAAAGGUUAUUAUGUUUUAUUAUAUAAUGGUUAAAAAUGUUAGUAUUAAAAGUUUAUGGAUUUUAAUGAAAGAAGUCUAUCUAUUUUAUCUAAUUAGUACAUUGUUAAAUUUUAAAUUGGUAUUGUGUAGAUUGAGUUUGAUUAGAAGUAUUUAGAAUAGAAAAUGUGAAUGUGAAAUGAAUUGGUUGAAUUGAUGAUAUUUGGGAACUAUAUGGUUUUAAUUUGCAGGGGGUUUUAUGUAAAAAUAAGCAGAAAUGCUGCCGAAAUUUUUAUAAAAAAAAUGAAGUCAUUUGGUAAACAAAUUAAUAAAUUUUAUGAAUUAUUUUAAUAUAUUGGUUAUUUAUUUAAGAAUUGUUGUAAAUCGUUCGAUACGUCCGGUAGUGCCUCGUAAUUCUGUUCCGGCGACGGUUCGGGGUUAAGGGGUGUUACAUUUUAUGGUAUCAGAGCUAUCAGGUUUAGCCGAUUCUCGGCCUAAAUCGAGCUCGGAAUUGAGUCUAGAUGUACAUGCCACUGUCGAGUUAAACUGAGUCGGGAUUUUUGGAUGCUGACCUAUUUGUUUGUUUUGUUUUAUAGAUUAAAGAUGUCUGAAGAAAGAAUAAAUGAUACUGAUGAAAGAAUGUAUAGUGAAGAUAGAGAAUUAGAUGAAACAGAAUCUGUUGCACCGAGUGUGAAUCCGUUAGGCAACCAACCUUCUAAUGUAGAACGAGAAAAUGUCAGAGAUAGAGAUGAAUCCCAAUUACUGAG